UACGUAGGGGGCGAGCGUUGUCCGGAUUCAUUGGGCGUAAAGCGCGCGUAGGCGGCUUCGUAAGUCGGCCGUGAAAUCUCCAGGCUUAACCUGGAGGGGUCGGGCGAGACUGCGGAGCUCGAGGUGGGCAGAGGGCAGUGGAAUUCCGGGUGUAGUGGUGGAAUGCGUAGAGAUCCGGAGGAACACCAGUGGCGAAGGCGGCUGCCUGGGCCUGGCCUGACGCUGAGGCGCGAAAGCGUGGGGAGCGAUCCGG
rnacentral:rRNA from 1 species